rnacentral:rRNA from 1 species
CAAUAGUGAUUCCGUCAGUAGCGGCGAGCGAACGCGGAUUAGCCCAAACCAAGGAGCUUGCUCCUUGGGGUUGUGGGACGUCUCACAUGGAGUUACAAAGGAACCGGUUAGAUGAAGAGGUCUGGAAAGGCCCGCCAGAGAAGGUAAAAGCCCUGUAGUUCAAAACCCGUUCCCUCCGAGACGGAUCCCGAGUAGUGCGGGGCACGUGAAAUCCCGUAUGAAUCCGGCAGGACCAUCUGCCAAGGCUAAAUACUCCCUGGCGACCGAUAGUGAAGCAGUACCGUGAGGGAAAGGUGAAAAGCACCCCGGAAGGGGAGUGAAAUAGAUCCUGAAACCGUGUGCUUACAAGAAGUCAGAGCCCGAUCUAUGGGUGAUGGCGUGCCUUUUGUAGAAUGAACCGGCGAGUUACGUUCCCGUGCAAGGUUAAGGUGAAGAGCUGAAGCCGCAGCGAAAGCGAGUCUGAAUAGGGCGAAUGAGUACGUGGACGUAGACCCGAAACCGGGUGAUCUACCCCUGUCCAGGGUGAAGGUGCGGUAACACGCACUGGAGGCCCGAACCCACGCAUGUUGAAAAAUGCGGGGAUGAGGUGGGGGUA